UGAGCGUGGAUCAGACUUGUGGGUGUGUUUUGAGGCGGAGUGAGAGUCCCGUACAGGAAACAGGAAACAUCACUGCCUCUAUCUCUGCCACGAGAAAGUUUUAAAACACCAAACACAAGCUCUGAACUGCCCGGGAGUUUGGGGAACAGCUGACUGUUUCCUCAGUCCCUCCGUCUCUUUACUUUCUCCGGGAAAUGACGCUGCCUUUAAAUGCGCUCGGAAAUGUCGAGAUCUAUAAACCAUCUGACCGAAAACAGUAACUGUGAAAUAUAGUCGUCUUGUGCUACAGUUGGGGGUUAAAGAACACAACAGGACAGCAACACAAAUUUGGAGACACUCCCAACACCGCACAACCCUGCAGAGAAUCCCUGGAUCUCUGAUUUAUUGUGAAC